rnacentral:ncRNA from 13 species
GCCCAUGUAGCUCAGUAGGAUAGAGCACGCGCCUUCUAAGCGUGAGGUCGGAAGUUCGAGCCUUCUCGUGGGCA